rnacentral:rRNA from 1 species
AUUGAACGCUGGCGGCGUGCUUAACACAUGCAAGUCGAUCGGUAACGCGGGGGCAACCCUGGCGACGAGAGGCGGACGGGUGAGGAACGCUUGGGAAUCUGCCUAUCAGCGGGGGACAACACGGGGAAACUCGUGCUAAUACCGCAUACGCUCUACGGAGGAAAGCCGGGGACCGCAAGGCCUGGCACUGAUAGAUGAGCCGAAGCCGGAUUAGCUAGUUGGCGGGGUAACGGCCCACCAAGGCGACGAUCCGUAGCUGGUCUGAGAGGACGAUCAGCCACACUGGAACUGAGACACGGUCCAGACUCCUACGGGAGGCAGCAGUGGGGAAUAUUGGACAAUGGGGGAAACCCUGAUCCAGCGACGCCGCGUGGGUGAAGAAGGCCUGCGGGUUGUAAAGCCCUUUCGGUAGGGACGAAAGCUCUCGACCUAACACGUCGGGAGGUUGACUUAACCUACAGAAGAAGCACCGGCUAACUCUGUGCCAGCAGCCGCCGUAAAAC